GUGCCAGCAGCCGCGGUAAUACGGAGGGUGCGAGCGUUAAUCGGAAUUACUGGGCGUAAAGCGUGCGUAGGCGGUUCGUUAAGUCAGAUGUGAAAGCCCUGGGCUCAACCUGGGAACUGCAUUUGAAACUGGCGGACUAGAGUUUAGUAGAGGGGAGUGGAAUUUCAGGUGUAGCGGUGAAAUGCGUAGAUAUCUGAAGGAACACCAGUGGCGAAGGCGACUCCCUGGACUAGAACUGACGCUGAGGUACGAAAGCGUGGGUAGCAAACAGGAUUAGAAACCCUCGUAGUCC
rnacentral:rRNA from 1 species